rnacentral:rRNA from 1 species
AUUGAACGCUGGCGGCAUGCUUUACACAUGCAAGUCGGACGGCAGCACAGAGAAGCUUGCUUCUUGGGUGGCGAGUGGCGAACGGGUGAGUAACAUAUCGGAACGUACCGAGCAGUGGGGGAUAACUAAUCGAAAGAUUAGCUAAUACCGCAUAUCUUCUGAGGAAGAAAGCAGGGGACCAUUUGGCCUUGCGCUGUUUGAGCGGCCGAUAUCUGAUUAGCUAGUUGGUGGGGUAAAGGCCUACCAAGGCGACGAUCAGUAGCGGGUCUGAGAGGAUGAUCCGGCAACAUGGGAAUGGGAAAAGGGCCCGGAUCCUACGGGAGGCAGCAGUGGGGAAUUUUGGACAAUGGGCGCAAGCCUGAUCCAGCCAUGCCGCGUGUCUGAAGAAGGCCUUCGGGUUGUAAAGGACUUUUGUCAGGGAAGAAAAGGGCGGGGUUAAUACCCCUGUCUGAUGACGGUACCUGAAGAAUAAGCACCGGCUAACUACGUG